AGUUCUAUAUUAAUAUUUGCAGUCACAGGAGCACUGUUGUUUAUAGCUGUAGUAACAUUUUUCUUUACAGUAAGUCUUUUAUCAUCCAAUAAGCUAUUAAGUUUCUUUUUAAGUAUGAAGACACCCUCAAAAAUCAGUUUCACCGUGUGCUCGCUUUUACUGUUACGUCAGGAUUAACUGGUGUUCAUACACUCGUUGCUGGUCAAUUGAAUGAGGAUGUUACUUCUGAUCUGUUGAAAACUCUAAAAACCGUCAAUUGGGAAUGUUGGAAUUACGAAAAUAGAAAAACUUUCGUUAUACUGUUACAAAAUACACAAAAAUGUAUCAAGAUUAAAUUUUCUGAAAACGUGUCCGUUAAUUAUGCUCUAGGCGUGUCUCUGGGAAGAGCCGUUUAUUCCGUAAUGUCCGUAAUGAGACAAUUGAAAAAUUGAAACUGAACCGAAGAAAGAUUUUUUAUGCUUGUUGGUAACAUUUAAAGCCUUCUUUUUAAUAUCUGAUCCUAGAUUAUAAACACUAUUUUAAAACAAGUUUCCGAUAGCAACGUAUUUUCACUAUUUUAAAACACGCUUCCCAUAGCAACGUGUUUUAAAUUAAAAUGUUCAAAUAAACAUUGUACGAAAACACUAAGGGCCAAUUUAUAGAAAGCACA